rnacentral:rRNA from 1 species
AGCGAACGCUGGCGGCAGGCUUAACACAUGCAAGUCGAACGGUCCUUCGGGAUAGUGGCGGACGGGUGAGUAACACGUGGGAACGUACCCUUAGGUUCGGAACAACACAGGGAAACUUGUGCUAAUACCGGAUAAGCCCUUCGGGGGAAAGAUUUAUCGCCUUUGGAGCGGCCCGCGUCUGAUUAGCUUGUUGGUGAGGUAAUGGCUCACCAAGGCUACGAUCAGUAGCUGGUCUGAGAGGAUGGCCAGCCACACUGGGACUGAGACGCGGCCCAGACUCCUACGGGAGGCAGCAGUGGGGAAUCUUGCGCAAUGGGCGAAAGCCUGACGCAGCCAUGCCGCGUGGAUGAUGAGGGUCUUAGGAUUGUAAAAUCCUUUCACCGGGGACGAUAAUGACGGUACCCGGAGAAGAAGCCCCGGCUAACUUCGUGCCAGCAGCCGCCGUAA